GGACCCGCACAAGCGGUGGAGCAUGUGGUUUAAUUCGAUGCAACGCGAACAACCUUACCAGAAUUUGACAUAUCUCGCAUUUCCUUGAAGGAGGAAAGUUCAAACGAGAAUACAGGUGGUGCAUGGCUGUCGUCAGCUCGUGCCGCGAGGUGUUGGGUUAAGUCCGGCAACGAGCGCAACCCACAUCCCUAGUUGCCAGCAGUUCGGCUGGGCACUCUAUGGAAACUGCCCGUGAUAAGCGGGAGGAAGGUGUGGAUGACGUCAAGUCCUCAUGGCCCUUACGGGUUGGGCUACACACGUGCUACAAUGGUAGUGACAAUGGGUUAAUCCCAAAAGCUAUCUCAGUUCGGAUUGUCGUCUGCAACUCGACGGCAUG
rnacentral:rRNA from 1 species